rnacentral:rRNA from 1 species
AGUACGGCGGAACACGAGAAAUUCCGUCGGAAUCCGCGGGGACCAUCCCGCAAGGCUAAAUACUCCCUAGUGACCGAUAGUGAACCAGUACCGUGAGGGAAAGGUGAAAAGCACCCCGGAAGGGGAGUGAAAUAGAUCCUGAAACCGUGUGCCUACAACAAGUCAAAGCUCGUUAAUGAGUGAUGGCGUGCCUUUUGUAGAAUGAACCGGCGAGUUACGAUUGCAUGCGAGGUUAAGUCGAAGAGACGGAGCCGCAGCGAAAGCGAGUCUGAAUAGGGCGAAUGAGUAUGUAGUCGUAGACCCGAAACCAUGUGAUCUACCCAUGUCCAGGUUGAAGGUGCGGUAAAACGCACUGGAGGACCGAACCCACGUACGUUGAAAAGUGCGGGGAUGAGGUGUGGGUAGCGGAGAAAUUCCAAACGAACUUGGAGAUAGCUGGUUCUCUCCGAAAUAGCUUUAGGGCUAGCCUCGGAAUUGAGAAUGAUGGAGGUAGAGCACUGUUUGGACUAGGGGCCCAUCUCGGGUUACCGAAUUCAGAUAAACUCCGAAUGCCAUUCAUUUAUAUCCGGGAGUCAGACUGCGAGUGAUAAGAUCCGUAGUCGAAAGGGAAACAGCCCAGACCACCAGCUAAGGUCCCAAAAUAUAUGUUAAGUGGAAAAGGAUGUGGGGUUGCACAGACAACUAGGAUGUUGGCUUAGAAGCAGCCACCAUUUAAAGAGUGCGUAAUAGCUCACUAGUCGAGUGACCCUGCGCCGAAAAUGUACCGGGGCUAAACAUAUUACCGAAGCUGUGGACUACACCAUUAGGUGUAGUGGUAGGAGAGCGUUCUAAGGGCGUUGAAGGUCGAUCGUGAGGACGGCUGGAGCGCUUAGAAGUGAGAAUGCCGGUAUGAGUAGCGAAAGACAGGUGAGAAUCCUGUCCACCGUAUGACUAAGGUUUCCUGGGGAAGGCUCGUCCGCCCAGGGUUAGUCGGGACCUAAGCCGAGGCCGAUAGGCGUAGGCGAUGGACAACAGGUUGAUAUUCCUGUACCAGUUGUUUUUGUUUGAGCAAUGGAGGGACGCAGUAGGCUAAGGAAUGCAUGCG